rnacentral:pre_miRNA from 1 species
AAUGUGAUUGUUGGGUCAUAUGGUGAAAGUAUGUUUAGUUUUAUAAGAAACCACCAAACUGUUUUCCAAAGUGGCUGUACCGUUUUGCACUCCCACCAGCAAU